CAAUGUUCACCUAAGCGGGAACAGCGUUUAGAGCGGCUUCUGGAAACUUCGGAGGGCUUCAAAACGCGUUUGUCACCUGCACGUCCUUUGUACACCAGCAGCAUCUUUCAGAUGCAGCCAUGAAGAAUCCACAGUAAUAGUCACGCUGCAGGUGACAAAGAAAUCAACCAGAGACCUCCACGUCUGUUAAGAGCCGAGUACAUUUAACAUUAUUGGGUCGGGGUCAGAUUCUGUCUGCCUCUCUCUCUCUCUUCCACACAUGCUCAGUAUAUACAUUCACUGACUGCUUUAUGUACACCUUACUUAAGCCUGUUUGCAAAUUACAUUACAUCACAUCACUGCGUUGCUGUGGCACAUACUGGAGGGCAGGAAGUGAUUUUCAUAGAAGGCACUGUCACAGGUUCUCAAAAUGCCUAUGGUUUACGUUGUUUAUGGUUGCUAAAUUAGUUCUAACUGAGAAACUACAAGGUUCUUUUAUCAGAUACCAAAGCUUGUUGUUCAUUGGGGGAAAAUGCAAGAAAUUGACC